rnacentral:rRNA from 1 species
UACGUAGGGUGCGAGCGUUAAUCGGAAUUACUGGGCGUAAAGCGUGCGCAGGCGGUUCGUUAUGUCCGAUGUGAAAGCCCCCGAGCUCAACUUGGGAAUGGCAUUGGAAACUGGCGGGCUGGAGUGUGGCAGAGGGGGGGUGGAAUUCCACGGUGUAGCAGUGAAAUGCGUAGAGAUGUGGAGGAACACCGAUGGCGGAAGGCAGCCCCCUGGGCCAACACUGACGCCUCAGGCACGAAAGCGUGGGGAGCAAACAGG